GGAGGCUGAGGCACUGCGCGCCGCGGGGUUGCGGCUCCCCGCACGCCGCCUGCGCCCCGCGGCUCUCGUCUCCACGCCCGGACGCCGUGUCCUCAGAGUGACCUGUGCUAUCUGGGGCCUCGGACUGCUGCUCACAAAGAAGUCACACUGAAAGGGAGAGUGUCCCUCACGCCGGUGUCGUCUUUACCGAGAAGAGGAAACGCAGGACUGAUGCUGAAGCUCCAAUACUUUGGCCACCUGAUGCGUACAGCUGACUCAGUGGAAAAGACCCUGAUGGUAGGAGAGACUGAAGGAGAAAUGAGAAGGGGGCGACAGAGGAUGAGAUGGUUGGAUGGCAUCACCGACUCAAUGGACAUGAAUCCGAGCAAACUCUGGGAGUCAGUGGAGGACAGAGGAGCCUGGCGUGCUGCGUUCAUGGGGUCGCAAAGACUUGGGCACCUCUCAGCAACUGAACCACCACCACAGCAGAGUGGCCUGGAGAGCCAGUUCUCAGGAUUUUCCCAAGAGGAGUCAAGUCCCACUCAGGUGCCCAGACGGAUAGAAUCAAGAAUAUUCUCUGCUGCCUCCUUGUUUGUGAUAAUAAGGAACCAGAAGCCAGCUAAUACUGUCCAUCAGUAGAGUUACAGGUAAGUAAACUCCGGCCCAUGGUGCUGUGGAGACACAAGAAGCACUCGGACAGAUAAGACACACCAAAACACCCCCGCACAAAGCCACACCGGCCUCUUCUCUCUCUCCCGCUCACGCAUUCUCUCAGUCUGCGGGCGCAGGUACAGGACCCGAAGCUGCCCCAAUCCUUCCCUCAGCGUUCGCAACACUGGAUACCUGGGCCGAAGGAGAAAGUUUCCAAGAUGAGGGGAUUGCUUUUUUUAAUUCCCCAAAAGAACUGUUUUUAAAAACCGUCAUUGGAAAAUCAUCUCUGAGGACAACAGCCAAGGGAGGAUUCCUGUUUGGCGAAGAAGCCGACAGGCGGGUCCCAAGCAGCCUUGGGGGACUUUCCCCUUUUUGCCCAAAUGUCAUGUCGGCAUUCACAUGGAUAAAAAGGGCCUGAACCGAGCAGCCUCCCCAGUGCUGGAUGACAGGCAUCAGGCCCUCCGCCCCUCCCAUCCCAGGAGCUGUUGUGAGUGCUUAUAUUUAUCAGAGAAAACACCGAACUUGAAUGGGCUGGAGCUCACCGGCUGGCAGCAGAGGUCUGGUCCUUGUCUCCUUGGAUGGACGCUGGAAUUCGUCUGGAACACACAGGAUGUGAAUGAACAUUACGGAGCAGAGCGCAGUUCUCUCCCUCCUGCAGAAUCCCACUUCUUCCCACCAACCUGGCAGCAAGCAAAACGACCUCAGGAUUAAGCCCGUAAACUUUGGAAUCAAACAAACCCAUGUGCAAUCUUUGCUUUCUUUUUUUAAACCUAACAGUUCUGUGGCUUCCAGCAAAUUCUGUAACUUCUUUGUACUUUUGUUUACUCAUGUGCAAAAUGGGGAUAAAGAUCACCACCAUGUUGGGUUCCUAUGAAGAUUAAAUAGGCUGAGUACAGAGACUGGACAUGUGCAACCCUGUGGACUGUAGAUUUCUGUUCUCGGAUUACCUGUUUCCUUCUUACCCUACCUUAGGGCCGUCAUUCAUGGGAUGAAAUAAGAAAGGAUGGUUUGGGGAGAAAGAUACUCUUGGUAACCUGCAGAUUUUCUUGUGAAAAGUGAAAUCUCCCAGUUUCAGGCUGGCGUCUGUUGUUGGUAACUGGGUUGGCUCCAGCCAUUGAACCAAUUUAUUGAGCACUAUUCCUUGCUAGGACGGCUUCCCUGAUGGCUCAGGCGGUAAAGAAUCCUCCCGCAGUGUGGGAGGCCUGGGUUUGAUCCCUGGUCUGGCAAGAACUCCUGGAGGAGGGAAUGGCAACCCACUCCAGUAUUCUUGUCUGGAAAAUUCCAUGGACAGAGUAGUCUGGAGGGCUAUACAGCCCAUGGGGUCGCAAACAGUCGGACACGACUAAGUGACUAACACCUGCUAGGCAGUGUGUUUAAGCCCUCUUAUAGGUAUAUGACCAGCGUCCACAUAGAUUGUAUUAUCCCGUUAUGUUUUAUUCAAAUAAGUCCUGAUAACAGCCACUUCUCACCACCUCUUCAGCAACGACGCUAGUCUCAGCUAUCCUCUUCUCCCAAGAAGUCACAGCAGUAGCCUUCUCCUUCGCCUCCCCUCUUGCAUUCUUUCCAUUUCCAGUGAACUUUGGAGUCAACCAGAACAGGAGAACAACCAAUCUGGAGAGAGAGUAAUGUUACGUAGGGAAGCCCAGGGACUCUGGUUCAGGGACCGAAUCCUGCCUUGCUCAGUUAGCUGCUAACAUACCUUCAGUCACAAGGAAGCGACUGGCAAAGGUGCUUUCCACGCCCCUGGUUGCCUAGCUCCAAGGACGCCAGACUUGCCAUCACCCAUCCCUGCUGAGACUGUCUCUGAUCGCUAGGGAAGUGCCUCUCACUUAAGUACACUGCCGUCAUUGCCCCUUCCUCUCUGCUCCACCAGCACAGUGAGAGAGAAAUUUACCCACCCAACACACCCUAAGAUUUGAGAAGGCUUCUGCUUCAGGAAAUGUAGUACAUAGCUGAGAAUCUU